rnacentral:rRNA from 1 species
CCUACGGGAGGCAGCAGUGGGGAAUAUUGCACAAUGGGCGCAAGCCUGAUGCAGCCAUGCCGCGUGUGUGAAGAAGGCCUUCGGGUUGUAAAGCACUUUCAGCGGGGAGGAAGGCGUUAAGGUUAAUAACCUUGGCGAUUGACGUUACCCGCAGAAGAAGCACCGGCUAACUCCGGGCCAGCAGCCGCGGUAAUACGGAGGGUGCAAGCGUUAAUCGGAAUUACUGGGCGUAAAGCGCACGCAGGCGGUCUGUCAAGUCGGAUGUGAAAUCCCCGGGCUCAACCUGGGAACUGCAUUCGAAACUGGCAGGCUAGAGUCUUGUAGAGGGGGGUAGAAUUCCAGGUGUAGCGGUGAAAUGCGUAGAGAUCUGGAGGAAUACCGGUGGCGAAGGCGGCCCCCUGGACAAAGACUGACGCUCAGGUGCGAAAGCGUGGGGAGCAAACAGGAUUAGAUACCCUUGUAGUC